UGGCUCAUUGUCGCAGCAUAUAUACUAAAAUUGGAAUGACACAGAGAAGAUUAGCACAGUCCCUGGGCAAGAAUGAUAUGCAAGUUUGUGAAACAUUCUAUAUUAUU
rnacentral:snRNA from 1 species